GAUGAACGCUAGCUACAGGCUUAACACAUGCAAGUCGAGGGGCAGCAUGAAGUUUGCUUGCAAACUUUGAUGGCGACCGGCGGAUGGGUGAGUAACGCGUAUCCAACCUGCCCCCUUCCCGGGCACAGCCCUUGGAAACGAGGAUUAACUCCCGAUGGCGUCGCCUUAACGCAUGUUUCGGCGACCAAAUGUUUAAGGAAGGGGAUGGGGAUGCGUCCCAUUAGCUUGUUGGUGGGGUAACGGCCCACCAAGGCUCCGAUGGGUAGGGGGUCUGAGAGGAAGGUCCCCCACACUGGAACUGAGACACGGUCCAGACUGCUACGGGAGGCAGCAGUGAGGAAUAUUGGUCAAUGGAGGCAACUCUGAACCAGCCAAGUAGCGUGAGGGACGACUGCCCUACGGGUUGUAAACCUCUUUUGUCGGGGAAUAAACCGCGCCACGUGUGGCGCUCUGCAUGUACCCGCAGAAUAAGGACCGGCUAAUUCCGUGCCAGCCGCCGCCGUAAUAC
rnacentral:rRNA from 1 species